GCCUCCUUAGCUCAGUGGUAGAGCGUUGCACUUGUAUAGGAGUCUUGUAAGUUGACAUCAUUUACAAUGCAAAGGCGCAGUCGUUCAAUUCGACUAGGAGGCA